rnacentral:rRNA from 1 species
AUUGAACGCUGGCGGCAUGCCUUACACAUGCAAGUCGAACGGCAGCGGGGACUUCGGUCCGCCGGCGAGUGGCGAACGGGUGAGUAAUGUAUCGGAACGUACCAUUCAGUGGGGGAUAACUAUCCGAAAGGAUAGCUAAUACCGCAUAUUCUGUGAGCAGGAAAGCAGGGGAUCUUAGGACCUUGUGCUCUUUGAGCGGCCGAUAUCAGAUUAGCUAGUUGGUGAGGUAAAGGCUCACCAAGGCGACGAUCUGUAGCGGGUCUGAGAGGAUGAUCCGCCACACUGGGACUGAGACACGGCCCAGACUCCUACGGGAGGCAGCAGUGGGGAAUUUUGGACAAUGGGCGCAAGCCUGAUCCAGCCAUGCCGCGUGAGUGAAGAAGGCCUUCGGGUUGUAAAGCUCUUUCGGCCGGGAAGAAAUCGGCUGGGUUAAUACCCCAGCUGGAUGACGGUACCGGAAUAAGAAGCACCGGCUAACUACGUGCCAGCAGCCGCGGUAAAAC